ACCUCCGCUUUCUGUGUUCAAGUGAUUCUCCUGCCUCAGCCUCCAGAGUAGCUGGGAUUACAGGCACCCACCACCAUGCCAGGCUAAUUUUUUGUAUUUUUAGUAGAGACAGGGCUUCACCAUGUUGCCUAGACUGAUCUUGAACUCCUGGCCUCAGGUGAUCCACCUGCCUCUGCUCCCAAAUUGUUGGGAUGACAGGCAUGAGCCACUGCGCUGGCAUACAUUUUUUAUUUAAAAAAAUGUCAGACUCAGGGAAAAUUUGAAAUAACAACACAAUAAAUACCUAUACAGACUUUUCCUGGGUCGCCCACCUGUUAACAUCUUCUGUGGCCAGUCGUUCUCUCCCUGUGGGAACAUUCACCUGUGACCCCCUUUUGCCCACCUGCAGGCCGUGGGUGCCGUGACACCCCAGAUGUAAUUCUUGAGCAUGCAUCCCCUGAGAACAGGGACACUGUCCUAGAGAGCCACACCCAAGAAAAACACCGCCCAUUCUGUAUCCCCACCCGUGUCAUACAGGUGUAAUAAGCAGCACAUGCGUGGGUUCUCCUUAAGACUCAUUUAAGCCAGGGUGAGGCUGAAGUCAUUUCUGGCCCAGCCUGGCCCCUCAGCACAGAUGUCUGCUGUCAUGGCUGGAGCAUUUCCUUCCAGAAUCUUCUGUGCAUUUGCAUCAACAGUGUGUGCACAUGCUGAGCCUACCGUAUCCCAUGUAAGCUUUCUUUUCUCGUGAACAGAGUCUCAUCGUAUGUGGACAGUUCUGCAGUUGGCUGUGUGCUCCCAGCACAUUUUGAUAUGAGUCAUUCGGUGACCUGCAACCUAGCAAAGGCACCGUAGCACAUUUUAGCCAGUCCCCCAUGGAUGGCCAUUGGGGUGCUUCCACUAUUUGGCUUUCACCAACAGCCAGGCACACGUGUGAACACUUCUGUGUUGUAGCCACCAAGACGAGAGGGCCAGGCCAGAGCGUGGGCACACUCCUGUUGUUUGAGUAGCCCCUGCCACGCUGCCCGUGCUGGGGGCUGCCCUGGUGACCCUUCUUGACAGUGUAGGAGGCUCUUGGCUCCUCACAGCAUCACCACUGCCUCACAUUCCCACUGCUGCGUGCACUUCUCCUCCCCUCCCAGAGGGCGGAGGUCUCGCCUCUUCUCGCCCCACCUCCCUGUGCCCAGGGCAGUGCCCACCCCAGCAAACGGUCCUGAGGCGGCAGGUGCAGGCUCUUGGCUGUGUGCCAAGCUCUCCUCUAGGUGCUGUGCUGCUGCGACUUCCCUCAUCUUCACACAGCACCCUGGGUGGGCAAGCGUCAUCCCCACUUCACAGACGCACAGGCUGAGGCCCAGAGAGGUCAAGGAGCUGGCCAACAUCACACAGCAGUAAGAGGCAAGCUGAUUGGCCUCAGGGCCUGUGUUUACCUGCUGCCUCUUCCAUAUUGAACCCACCCUGGUCCCCGGCUUCAGCAUCAAUCAGCCCUUCCUGACUAGCACCUUUUUGCCUCCCCCAGACCAAGGCAAAGGGGCAGCCAACCAAGAUUCACAUCCCUCUCUCCGCUUCCCCCAGGCUGUGUGACCCCAGCUGGUUACUUGCCCUCUCUGGGCUUCUGUCUCCUUACUGUAAGGGGGCUAGUGGCAGCCCGCACCUGCCACACCAGGCAUGCAGCAGGAGCCUGGAAAGAGCAGCAGCUCCCAGAGCAGCUCCAGGCACGUCUGCUUGCGACCCGGUG
rnacentral:lncRNA from 1 species